rnacentral:rRNA from 1 species
GAGGGUGCAAGCGAUUAAUCGCGAAUUACUGGAGCGUUAAAGCGUGCGUAAGCGCUUUGUUAAGUCUGCUGUGAAAGCCCCGGGCUCAACCUGGGAAUGGCAGUGGAUACUGGCAGGCUAGAGUGUGGUAGAGGAAGGUGGAAUUCCCGGUGUAGCGGUGAAAUGCGUAUAGAUCGGGAGGAACAUCACUGGCGACGGCGGCCUUCUGGACAACACUGACGCUCAGGCACGAAAGCGUGUGGAGCAAACAGGAUUAGAUACCCUGGUAGUCCACGCCCUAAACGAUGCGAACUGGACGUUGGCCACACUUCGGUGGUCAGUGUCGAAGCUAACGCGUUAAGUUCGCCGCCUGGUGAGUACGGUCGCAAGACUGAAACUCAAAGGAAUUGACGGGGCCCGUACAAUCGGUGGAGUAUGUGGGUUAAUUCGAUGCAACGCGAAAACCUUACCUGGACUUGACAUGUCGCAAACUUGGCAGAAAUGCCUUGAUGCGUUCCGUAAUGCAAACACAGUUACUGCAUGGAUGUCGGCAGCUCGUGACGUGAGAUGUUGGGUUAAGUCCCGCAACGAGCGCAACCCUUGUCCUUAGUUGCCAGCACGUAAAGGUGGGAACUCUAGGAGACUGCGGGCGACAAACGCCCACGAAGGUGGGAAUGACGUCAAGUCAUCAUGGCCCUUACGACCAGGGCUACACACGUACUACAAUGGUCGGUGCAGAGGGUUGCCCAUCCGCGAGGUGGAGCCAAUCCCACAAAGCCGAUCCCAGUCCGGAUCGCAGUCUGCAACUCGACUGCGUGAAGUCGAAUCGCUAGUAAUCGCGGAUCAGCUAUGCCACGGUGAAUACGUUCCCGGGUCUUGUGCCCACCGCCCGUCACACCUGGCAGUGGGCUGCUCCAAAGCCGGUAGUCUACCUUCGGUAGAAGAC